UCCCGAUCUGAUGGUGGACCCCACAUUUGCAGGCCAGCCUUUCAUGCCUAUGCUCGUAAUGCUGACUGUCAGGUCACUGAUGGUACCAGGUAUGUGACUGGUAGUGGGCUUGCUAACAGAGAACAGAUGGAGAGGUUGUUCUAGUUUGGAAAAUUUGAAAGAUCACAAAAGAGAUGACACCAUCUAUUCGCGUUGACACCCUCACCGAUGCCCUCUAUUACGUGGUCCGGGAGAAGCAAGGUAUCAAUGUGUAACAGGAAAUCAGUUAAGUAUUGCGAUGACACAAUGUUCAGGAUUCUUUUAAUAUAAUUUUGCAAAGAACAUACUGAUCUACUUGAAACAAUCUAUGAAAUGUAUGUUCACCUUCAUGUGUUAUAGCAACGGCAAUACAACUCUGUCAGCAGAAGGUCCUAAAGGAGGAAUCUGAGGCAAAGGAGGAGUUGUUGUGUGCUCGACAGCAUUCCAGAUGCACAGACUAUUGCUGUGCAGCUCUCCAGAAAAGCCAGGUGGACAUCGGAGAGAAUAAAAAAGCAGAUCAUCUCCUACAAUGGAGGGAACAAGUCACCUCAAUUCCCCCUAAGACUGGAGUACAUGGAUGUUCUCCAGCAAGACAAUCCAGUCUGGUCCCAGGUGUCCAAACGUUUGGGGGAUAGUCUGCUCCGGGCCAAGCAGCAUAACCGAUAUCAUAACCGCCAUCGAUAAAAGACUGUACUCUGCAGCCAACUUCAUCGACCUGGCCAAGGCUUUUGACUCUGUCAAUCACCGUAUUUUUAUCGGCAGACUCCACAGCCUUGGUUUCACUAAUGACCUCCUCGCCUGGUUCACUAACUACUUCUCAGAUGGAGUUCAGUGUGUCAAAUCGGAGGGCCUGUUGUCCGGACCUCUGGCAGUCUAUGGGGGUGCCACAGGGUUAAAAUCUCGGGCCGACAAUCUUCUCUGUAUAUAUCAAUGAUGUCACUCUUUCUGCGGUUGAUUCUUUGAUCCACCUCUACGCAGACGACACCAUUCUGUAUACAUCUGGUCCUUCUUUGGACGCUGUUAACAAACCUCCAGACAAUCUUCAAUGCCAUUUCUACUGUGUUAUUGACUUGUUAAUUGUUUACUCCAUGUGUAACUCUGUGUUGUCUGUUCACACUGCUAUGCUUUAUCUUGGCCAGG